CUUUUGCCAACCAGCAAGGAGAAGCCAAACCCCAGAGCAUCAAAUUCUGCCAUAUUUUAAGAAGCUGCCGCCCUCUCCAAAUAACACCGAAGGUGUUUUUAACCAUCUGAGCCUGAUGCGCUUAAGUUAUAAUAAGACAGUUUGUUUCUAGGAAGUGCAACUUAGCAGUAUUUCUAUAGAACAUGAGAACAUCCUACAACGU